GACAGAGGUCCCGAGCGUUAGGCGGAAUCACUGGGCUUAAGGCGUGUGUAGGCGGAUUUUUAAGUACCUUGGGAAAUCCCACGGCUUAACCGUGGAACUGCUUGGUAUACUGGUUGUCUUGGGCCACUUAGGGGCUACCGGAACAAACGGUGGAGCGGUGAAAUGCGUAGAUAUCGUUUGGAACGCCAAUGGUGAAAACAGGUAGCUGGGAGUGUGCCGACGCUGAGACACGAAAGCCAGGGGAGCGAACGGG
rnacentral:rRNA from 1 species